rnacentral:tRNA from 1 species
GCGCGCUUAGCUCAGUUGGUAGAGCAUCUCAUUGACGUUGAGAGGGUCAUAGGUUCGAGUCCUAUAGCGCGCACCA